rnacentral:lncRNA from 1 species
UGCCCGACAGCAAAAGAUAAAUAAGAGGGGACUUGCCAGUUUGUAACUUCCAGCACUACCAGAGAUAAAAAGAACAAGAAUGCCAUUAAGCUUCUUAAGAUGCUCAUUAAAAUAAAUCUUUCUCCAUCCUUCGAGGUACAGAUAUAAAUUAUAUUUGGUGACAUAUUUGCUAGUGUGGGGAAGAGAAUGUAUGUAGGCAACCUCUUGUUGUUGCAAGCAAAAAUUUUCACCUUUAAGGAAACAAUGGAAAAAAAAGCAUAAAGUCGUUGGAACUCUAGUAAAAGCCAACGGAGAAAGUUAAAAAAAAAAAAAAAAAAAAA